CAGUAGCCGCGGUAAUACAGAGGGUGCGAGCGUUAAUCGGAUUUACUGGGCGUAAAGCGUGCGUAGGCGGCUUUUUAAGUCGGAUGUGAAAUCCCUGAGCUUAACUUAGGAAUUGCAUUCGAUACUGGGAAGCUAGAGUAUGGGAGAGGAUGGUAGAAUUCCAGGUGUAGCGGUGAAAUGCGUAGAGAUCUGGAGGAAUACCGGUGGCGAAGGCGGCCCCCUGGACAAAGACUGACGCUCAGGUGCGAAAGCGUGGGGAGCAAACAGGAUUAGAUACCCCAGUAGUCCCUGUCUCUUAUAC
rnacentral:rRNA from 1 species